ensembl:piRNA 21ur-3753 ncRNA
UGUUAUUACGGGACGAACAAC